UGGCUGCGGUUAGAAAAGACAUUGUUUGUCUGAAGAGACAGGGGUGUGGUGAAAAUACUCUGUGCCAGCCAAGUGAACCAAAACACUCUCUGAAUUACUACACAGGCUGGAAAAUAAAAUUUAACUGACAGAAGAUCUGGACCCAACCUGUGCUAAGAGACAGAGAGAAAAAGAAUACCAGGAAUUGCCAUGUACAGUUGGAGCUAAUUAGAAGAUAAUGCCGGUGGAAUGAAACAGUGUCAUAUGAUAAUGAUCUCACACCACUAUAGAAAUGAGGAAUGGAAGGGAGGACAUACUAGAUGAAGGAGGAGCUCAGAGUAUUCGCUGUCCUUCCACCUCUACAGUCCUCUCUCUGUGGCCCUUUGUGUGGGAGUAGCUGCACAUUGUUGCAUCUGCACUAUGAAAUUCACCCCGAAUGAAUGGACACUCAGAUGUCUUCACUUCCAGCAGAGAAGACACAACUCAGGCUGAAUUAGGCCAUUUGGAGAGGUUUACCAAAAUCUCCAUGGGUUAGAGACACAAAACUCUUCUUUCACACUGGUCUGGACUGAGCACUUGUUCUUCUUAGAGCACUGUGCAAAGAGACAGAGAAAUUCUCCACUCGAAGCAUAAGCAUAUCUGCUGUUAAUGUUGAGGGGAGUUAAGUGUCUGCUUCUACAGGAGAAUACACCCCUGAAGUGUUCCUGAAGGCCACCCUUUCAAAAUGGUUUGUAGAUGUUGGAAUUCAAUUUACCCAGAAUCUGGGGAGGACUUGAACUGCAUCCAGCCAUUCUGAAAGAGAGAAGAAGCAGCACAACUGCCCUCUAACAAAAAUGGUACAUUCAAGGGGAAGCUUCAGGAAUCAGGGAGAGAGAGGGUGGAAUUUGGCAAACUGAACAUCAUAUAUACUCACUAGAAGCUCCUGGAGUGAGUGUCGUGCAACCAGAAGGCAGCUUCCCAGCUGUUUCCAGGGUGCAGCUUUGGAAACAAAGUUCCCUGAAGAUCUGCUAUAAAACAAUGUAUUGCAUCAGUUUCCUGGAGGAUUUACAGCACCUAGCAGGGCAGCCCAGCAUCCUCCUGUGCUCAGAGGGGCACAGAUGUCCAGAAGGUUCUGGUGGGUCACACGUAACUAUAAACAUGAAAAAGUAUUUCCUCUGUUACAUUCCUGCUGGAGAGCAUUUCACUGGUACAGGAGUAGUAGAAGUGAAACAAACUUCCCAUGAUCUACCUGCCUUGAAGAACAGAACCACUCUGGUAGGAGUAAAUUUUUGGUAUGGAAACUUAGUUUUUGGUGUGCUUCCUAACUCUACCAAUUCAAUACCCUUGAUGCAAAUGUUCCUUACUCUUAUCAGUGAGAUGGAGAAAGAUGACAUUUUCUUCCUGUCUGUAUUGCUGAUGAUAACUUUUCCCUUGAGUUUUAUUCAGCCUUAAGAUUGUAUUGGUUCCAGUCUUCAUGGUUAUGUGUUCACCUACUCCAAACAAAUAUCUUCACCAGUGCCUUCAGACACCCUUUACUAGUCGAAAACCACACCACAUUUUGCUGCUUGCUCUGGUCCCUCCCCAUAUCUGUGCCAUCGGAAGAGGCCAAGCAAGCAUUCCCUAAUGCAUUACAAGUAAAGCCAGCCUGGUUAGCUCAUAUCCAUGUUCAUCACCAGGUGAAAUGACUCUGGCUGCCUUAGCUUAAACAGAUUAGGUGAUUUGUGAUCCCUUUUGCUAAUGGAGCAGUACGUUGGGUUCUUGCAAGACAGCAAUAAGUGCUAUAAACAGUGCUGUCAUCUCCCACAGGAGCUUUCCUAUAGUCUCAGGUUUUCACAGCACUCCCAUCCUUGAACCCAGUAUUGCACCCCUCAACUUCCAUAUUUUUUCUAUGGAUGUUGCCUUUAUUUUUACCUUAGCUGCCAGAACUAAAGAUAUAUUUUGACUUUUUAAAUGAGUCUUCUCUGUUCAGCUUGCUCUGUCUGUCUUUUUUAAUUAAACUGGGGUCUUCAUAUUAGACUCCUUCAGUUCAUCUCUUCCAGUUUCAGCUCUUACUUUCCAUUUGCCUUCAUUAUACUUUGCCAUCCUUGAACUGCACUGAACUCUUCCUCAUUUCACAUCUUCCCAUACAAUAUUCAGAUCUGCUAUUCCUCUGUCUAAUUUUACCAUGGCUGAUGUGAAAAUCAUCUUUGCUAGAGAAGCAGCAGUGAGGAGACAAACCUUUCUUCUCUUUUCCACAUUCGUUCUCACUCUUACAUAAAAUCCUGGCUGAAAAAAGGGCAUUCUCUUCUGUGAUCAUAACUUCACAUUCCUCUUUUUCCUGCUACUCUUCCAUUUGGAAAACAUUUUGAUACAUUCUCAUCCAUGAAAACUAUACUGUUUAUGUUUGCAAUUUUUCAAUGUGCUUGGUGUUGGUGUUUUUCAGAUGAACGGUGUAUUAAGAUUUAAUCUGAGCCUAGUCAGAUAAUAUUGACUUGCAAUGAAAAAGCUGUAUGAAUGAGAUAGCAGCAGACAGCUAAAAGUGCUGAAUGCCAAUUGCUGACUGAAAAAUGAUACCCAGAAUUUGGUGGUGGAGAGUAGAUGGGACAUUUAUGAAUGGAAAACCUUUCUGAUUGCUUAAAUGUUGUGAUUUUUUUUCCUAAGUUUCUCUGUUUUUUCCAGUGUUUGCCAAAAUUUGCCUGUGCCUGUAGGGUGGUACAGCUGCAAGCUUCCAGGAGGUGCUUAUCCCUCUGCAGGCUACCACGUCCUGAUAUCAGCUCAAAGGCCUCUCUGUUUUGCCACAGUAGACUUCCUCAAAAUUAAAAUAAAGAACUGAAUCUAAGACUAUGGAUUCCUGAUGCAUCUCUGUGUCCCCAUUUCAGCUAUAUUUCCCACUGUUCACUGUUAGCAGUCAUCAGGAAACAUGCAUUUUGGCUCCAAAAUCAGGAUCUCCUGAAAGAAAUCCCUAGGUGUUACAGAAUUGCCACAUUGUGUUAGGGCCACAAACAAUGAGUUAGUUCUUGCCCAAAGCAGCUUUUAAUCCAGGUCAUGUAUAUGGAAGAGAGGCAAGGGAAGCUGAUUCUACAUAUAUCUGAGGUGCCUGGGUAAAAUGUGGUGAAUUGUUGUAGCAAAUACAUUCUAAACCCUCCCCUUCAGUUUUUCACAAAUUCCAAAUGUGGAUGCUGCUCUAAAUUAGAAGAAACAAUUAAAAUGCCUUUCUGAAUGCAUUUGAAAUGCAUAAGUUACUGUAAUUUCCCUGGGCAAGCCAGCUCUUUGGAGGGGGCAAAAGUUGCAAAUGGAAAAACAAACAAACAAAUGAGUGAGUAACUGGGAUGUGCUGCCAAAACAUCAGAAACAAGCGUGGUAGAAGGGGGAGGGAAAGGCUCUUGUCUGCCCUGGGACAAUUUGUAGAAACUAAAAUGUGGGAGGGAGUUGAAAUGAACAGGAGAAAAAAAUUCCACUGCCUUUUUUUUUUUUUUAUCCAGAUAAUCAUGUUAGCAGGACCCACGAUGCUAUGAAAGAUGACUGACUUCAGGCCUUUGAAAAAGAAAAUAGAAAUUUCCAAUUUUGUGGUUCAGGUUUUUCCUUUACAGGGAAAGGGAAACUAGGAGGUGAGUGCUUUGGUUGCAGCUGUAAAGGGGAAGACUGAAUAACAGUGCCAGAUGCCCCAAAUUAACAGUGAGUGAGAAAAGGCUGACUGUCUUUCUUGCCUUCCAAAUCUCAGACCAGCGAGAAAGGGAGCCAUGGUUUAGGUCAGUGUGCAGGUACAGAGCAUGCUUCACCUGCCAUGAACUGGGGAUGGGGAAGCAAAGGCAAGAGUGCUGCAGAGCUGCUGAUUGCCUGCUCUCUGAAGGCUUCCUGUUAGGGAGAAUCCUUGGGAUCAGAGCUGCUCAGAGCUGCUGAGGCAUGCAGAGGAGCUGCAGAUGGGGCUGAGUGUGCCUGGAUACUUCUCUGCUCAGCCACCAGUUACAGCAUUAUCAAAUGCUCACUAGAGGUGCGUACCUGCUAGAAGGGCUGAAGGCAAAGCAGGAGGUCUGCUUUUAAUGAAAAGGUAGUUUACACACAGCAUUUUUCUUAUAAUGGUAAAAUGGAUAUGAAACAGUUACGCUCCAGACCCUUACUUUUUUUUUUUUUAAGAGCUUUCUUUUUUCAGAACAUUGAAAACAAAACAAGCAAAAAGAGGGGAGGGAACAAAAAAGGAGAAAGAAAACUCCCUUCAGACAACAAUCACCUUUUGAGUUAAAUUCUCAUGCUUGGUCUUAGCCCAGAGGGAUUUGUCUUGAGUGAAGUUCGAAGAAAAUCCUUUCAGCAGUUUCUGAGUUACUUAAAUGUAACCAUGGAAGUUUGGAUUCAGGUGCCUUUUUUUACUUAUAUAACUCAAAAAUAGCUUUGCUUUAAAACUUUUAAAUUAACCCCCCUUAACUUUUCAACUUGUCACCUAUCCUACUGUAUGGCUUAUAAAAUUUUAAAGCUAAUAGUAUAACAAACUCAAAUAAUGAUACUGCAGAUGUUCAAAUGAAUCUUGGGGGAAAUAAAUUAUAGGAGUUGCAGUGGGUUGCUACUGAAGAAAGGGCGGCUGCAUGCCUUAAACCAUGUGUUCUUUCUGGUCUGAAAAAGGCUCAAUUUUUUUCUGCUGUUAAGAAGCGUAAGUGUCCUGGGUGUGGACUUUAAUACUUGGUUAUACAUACAAAAUUAAGCAUAUAAGUCCUGUUCCUUUUUUUCCUCCUGAUAGCCCCGAUUUAGACUUGUCAAAACAUUUUCUUAAAUUUUCCUGCUCUCUUUUUAACACAAUCCCAAUCAGUAGGCCACUUAAAUGUCUCCUAAAUAUUUAUGGACUUCAAAGUUACUGAAAUGCUUUGUGAUUCUCUUACUGUUAUUAUUUUAUUGCCAGCAGAUUGAGGCAAUAAGAGGUGAAGUGUCUUGGUAAGUAAUGUUUUUUUUUCCAUUUUCUUUGUCCAAUCCUCCUGUUGCUCUCUGAUGUUUCUUCCUCUUUGUCUUCUUUCCAACAUUUCUGCCUCACUUACUAGUCCCAUUCUCACUGUCUCCUAUCUAUCUUUCAACCAUCUUUCUCCAUUUAUUCUUCUCCAACAAUUGCACUGAAGAGAGCCCAUGAUAGAAAUUAUUUUUACUUUGGCAGCCACUUUUUACUUUUAUCUUUUCCCUGAAUGUCUGGGAUGGGUCCAGGCAGCUCUCCCCACUUUCAUCAUCUCUCUUCACAUCCCUCGUGACCCUGAGCUCUAGUCAGCAAUCUGAUGUCUGCCAUGAGAGCAGCUCCCAUUAUCCAAAGCCACAAUCAGACUAAGGUGUUGUAACGCUGUGUGUUGCUUUACUUACCACGCUUGCUCUGCUACUUUCUAGGAACUGCACACCUGUGCCAGGUUUUUCUCACAGAAUAAUAAUGACAGCGCUGUCGCCUUUUGCACGUCUCUCCUCCUUGCUCCUGUGCCCAUCUUCCUCUGCUGAGCUUUGUGGUUCAGUCUCCUGGCUGGUGCAGUUUAGCCAGGAUAUGGGAGACUUGUAUUUAGGCUCUGCCUGAGGCAAUUUGAACUUGAAUCUCUUGCCCCUUGGAUUUGCACCCUACCCAAGAGAUUAUCAACUCUUCUGCGAGGAGGGUGACCUGAGCCCUUUCUUUGAGUGGGAAAGCUUGAGCUUGACUUUUCAGUCUUGUACUGGAGACGCUCGCCUGGGUGGGGAAACCACGUCUGCCAGGGCCUGCCCCAGUCAAUGCUUAAAUCCAAGUAUGGAGGUAUUCCCUGGAAGACAGUAGCAAACCCCAGGUUUCUUGCUUUCAGUAGUGCUUUGACAACAACCACACAGAACAAUCAAUUUACUCCAUUUAAUUAUUCCAUACGAGCUGGAACAGCUCAAACAGGAUGGACCGGAGAAAGACCCUGCUCAACAAGAUCCCUUUAGAACUGGGCUGAGCUCGCUGGGCUGCCAUGGGUCAGUUCCCUCAUACCCCAGAGCAGCCAUGGAGCUGCCUCAGCACCACUGAGUUGACAAGGGACUGGGGACUGAGGACGUGUGGAGACUGGAGGGGAGGGAAGGGAAGUGGGCUCCUCCACUCUGUUACCCAUGCUGGCAGGUUUGUGGCUGUAGCUGAAAUACACAUCUGCCAGUGCUGCCUCAGUUACCACUCUGGACAGGAGUGGCAGCAAAGGUGUGGUGGAGGGAAAAGAAUUCUAUUAAAAGACAGGGCAGCACGCUGGAGCAUUACAAGGCAAAUUGCUUUUAAAGGUGGAAAUACAAUAAAAAUAGACUAAAGUGUCUUAAAAUACAAAAUCAAUGCCAAAACAGAGAAAGCCAGAAUGACUUCCAGAACUCAGCUAUAGGCAGUUGUCCCCCAGUAUAAGCCAGAUACUGUCGGUGUGUGGGAGACAUCCAGGAAUUUUCUCUCCUACAAAAAUAUUAGGGACAUUAUAUGUUUAACUGUAAUGGAAAACUAGAGCUCUAGUGCUCAGUUCCAAAGAAGAGCACUAACUAUUAGAAGUGAUGUGGUACAGGGUGUGUGUGUGUGUGUGUGUGGCUGCUCCUUUUCUCCUCAAGAUUCUAUAGCUUCCUUCAUUCUUCGCUUCUCUCAUAUUACAGAAAGAAGGUAAUUUUUCCUGGCCAUUUACUAAAGCUCAUUAAAGACUGAAGAGAACAAACAAUGCUAUUCCUUAGAGACUACCAUUCAAAGUCAUUCUACAAUUCUCUGUUCUAAUACUUGAGACAAAUUAAUUAUUCCUUAGUGAAAAGUGUAUAAUUUCUAUUCUUCAUUUUUGGGGUGGGGAGUGGGGAAUAAUAAUAGGAAGUUUAUAUCUGAGUCAAAAGCUGUCUGAGCUGAAGGGAAAUGAGAAAAAAUGUGUGUUCCAAGAAGAGUAAAAGCAAUUACUCUAAUAAUAAUUCUAGGGAUAUUAAUGUCUUUUUAAAGUAAAUUGCUUUCAAAUAAACACCAAAGUUGAAGGCAUAGGAAAGGCUGGUUUAUUUAUUAAUCAUUCCAAAAGUGCAUUUUUCUAAAUGAACAAGUGCAUGAGCAACUUCGCUGGCACAUAUUAAAUUUAGUUAAACGGCAACUUGUAAAUAUCUAAAAACUUCUGUAACCAGAGACUAAUUUGUUUAACGUGUUGAAAAUGUUCUGUGGAUGUGAGGAGCUACAUAUUAAACUUCAAAGCAAAAUGCUCCAGAGAUUACACCAUCUUAAAGACUGCAUAUUGGAAAGGCCUUUAUACAUUAAACAUAAAGGACUUUUAAUUCUCUUCUAUUUUGAAUACUUGUCAAUCUGUGUGACUCAUGCUUAAGAUUGUAAACUAUCAUUUUAAGGUGUGAUGUCCAAGUUGGGACCUGGACCAUGAUUUGCAAGGGGCUGGCUUUUCUCUUUCAUCUCUAUUAAUUAAUCCUGUUUCAGUUUGCCCGGCGUACACUUCUGUUGACAUCACCUUUUCCAUAUACUUUAAAGAGUCCCCAGAGAGAUCUAGUGCAGAACAAAAACUGGACAGAGAAUACAUUUGGAAACCAUUUUAUUUCUCAAUUACCAACCAAAACGUAUGGAAAAGAUUUACACUCUAUCUGAUUUACACAAUAAUUAUACUUUGAAAGCUUAGAAAUAAAUGGCUUGAUCCCUGAAAUCAUUAGUUACUAUACCAAAUGUAAUUGGUGUAAACUAAUGAGUUUACUGGAUGGCUGACCCUUAAUUACUGAUUAUAGUUAAACUCUAGCCAAUCAAAAUUUCGUUCACUUAUAAAAGUAAAGUGUAGUAUUAACAAGCAUUACAUUUCCAAGCAAGCAGCUUUAUGAUUAGUUGUAGCACACAACUCAAGCCUGUUCAGGGCUAUCAAAAGCAGCUUUUUAAUAACAGUGCACUAAGCAACCAUCAUUCUCUUACCUCAGCUUCUAUCAGACAAACAGAAAGAAACCACAUAAUUAAUCAUCUCAUGCAAUAGAAAUAAAGCAUCUGGGCCAGAUCCAGGUGGGAUAUACACCGCCUCCUUAGUUCAAAGAGCUGCAGGAGGCUGGGGAUCUGCCUUAGGAUAGGAUAACUGACAAGGGGAAUUCUGGCUCUCUUGGGGGAGCAGCAUGGGGUAUGGAAAUGAAAUACUGAUUGAUUGUGUGCAGUCCCAUGUGAUGUGGAGAAACCUAUCAACAAAAUAGGUUUAAUAAUUCCUUAAACUGAGGAGGAUUUCUUGGGCAGAUUCAGUAUGUGGUGAUAGGACAUACGAUUACUGUACUGGCCAUCCCAAAAAUCCAGAAGCCAUGGCUCCUCACUAUUGAUAAGAUCAAAUGGAGAAUAUUUUUUUAAAUGAAAUACUAAAUGGGAACAAAUUAUUUUCAUUUGUCUCUGGUUGAUCUUUAGGAACUUAUGUUUUGCCUAACCAGGAAGACUCAAAAUUGCUACUAAAAGAGUUGAAAGCAGAUUCCUAUUUAGAUCAUGAUUCUGGAGUUGGAACUUUAAACAGUACAUCAAAUAUUUUAAUAAAAUCAUAAAACUUUGCAAUGCUUACACUCACAUCCUUAAAGGUACUUAGGUAAAUGACUCCAGUGAUUUAAGAAUGUGGAAAUUCUCCAUCUCCGAGAUCAUUCCUGUGAGUCCUAAACUUCAGAUAGGAGAUUGAUACCAGAAGUCACAAGCAGAAGAUCAGGGGCUAUGGAAGGAUAUGUAUUUGCUGGAGCUCUGCACUGUGUGAUGACCCAACAGCUGCAAGGGUGUGAGGUCUGUUGGGUCAAUUCUGUCAUGAUUGCAGGUCUCUCCUAUUUCUGUUCUUCUCUAUGAACCUUACCUGAUGGCCCUUUGGAACAGGUACUGUAACACUUGCCCACUUGUUAGUAUAAACAUUUUCUUAAAACUCAGAAAUUUAAGAAUGAAGUAGUUCUCAGAAUAUCUGCACAUGGGUUAAAGUGAAAUUUUUAUAUUUACUGAACUCCUGUUUGUGAGAUGUGUCUGGGGUCAAGAAAAGGUUAAAGUUGUUUACUGCCUUCAAGCUCUGGUCUUAGAAGUUAAUUCAGAACUGUGCUUUGAGCAGCUACAGACAGUAGUAAGUCCUCUCAGCAGUGAAUUGCUGGUUUGAUGUCAAGGUCCUUGGGCCUUAAUCAUAAAAUUAGUUUGUUUCUUAAGGAAACCCUAGCAGGGACUUUAUGAUUAUAUAAAGUCAUUAUACUAUUUUACAACACAAAUUUAAAGAUGCUUCAGAAUGAUCAGAGUUUGUAGGAAGGGAUCAUGUUUUUUAUUAUUUGUGGAAUAUCCUCAAGCUGUCAUAGCUACAGCACUGCCACUUGGAAUAGCUGCUCCACAGUUCAAAAGAAAAGACAAAGGAUUUGUUGAAGCCUAAGUCAGGCAAUUAGGGCAUAUCUGUCCAGAGAAAGCUCAUUGAAUUGAAUGGAUUCCAUGUACUUCCUGACAACUGACUCCAGUUUUGUAGGAGCUGUAUAUUUGGGGCAAUCAAGGUGUUUUAUUACAAUUCCACAAGAGCAGAUAGAGGGCCUAUGAAGCUCUACAAGUGCUGCUUUUCACAGUUCUCUGUUGGAGAAUUCAGGGGUGAGUAAUUUUGAAAGUCAUGGAGAAAGAAGCAGGCAAAUUUUCCAAAACCUCGAGAGAUCCUGUGAAUGCAAGGACAAAGGAGACACUAGACUACACAAAAACUUUCCCAUCCACCCUCUGCACAGCAGCGCUGGUAAGAACAAUCCUGCCAUUUCUGAUUUGCUAACACUGAGACAACACCCUCCAAUGCAGAAGGGGGACAAGGAACCAUUGAUGUAGGAGGAGGGGAACACACCACAGACAGGUUCACUGUCCCCAGCCUGCCAUCCCUGUGGCAUGGGGGAAAGGGCAGGCUUCUGCAAUGACUGGUGCAACAAGCACCAAAGGGCCCCACUCCUCCUUUCCUGUGAACCCUGCAUAACUCUUUCUGUGGAAGAAAGCAUCAAGCCCCAUCUUGUUCAUGGAAAUACAGCAUAUUUGAAAGCCAUAGUUAAUGGAUAAACUGUUUUCUGAUUGGAUGAGCCACACAAUAAAUCUCUUCCCAAGCCAAGUGCAAUGCAGCUUACUCAGUUACAGUGAAAUGAGCCACUGUCACUUUGCUGCACUUGCAUACAUCAGGCAAAAUGCUUCUAUCUUCAUCAGUCUCUUAGUGAAAUAGAAAUAAAACCAUUUUAACAGAAUGGUGUCACUGGAUCUGUGGCACCUGCUUUAAAAAUAAAUCUCUUAGCUUUGUCUUCACUAUUACUUUCAAUAAAUGUCCUAGCAUUGCCACAGCAUUUAUCUAGCAGCAGGAAACCAUUAUCCUAUGACAACAAUCUAUUCCAUUAACAUUAGCUCUUAAUUGUAAGAUUGUUUAUAAGACAGAAAAAGCUACGGAAUCAUACUAGAAUGAUAAAAAGAGUUAUGGUCAUGGAGUAUAGUAGUCCCUCCAGUUAUGAAAAAUAACCUAAGAGUAGAAAGCUAUAUUUUAUAUUAAAAAUAAUGUAAUAUUGUUACACAAUAUAUUUUAAAAUAAUUUAUUACAUCAGGAAGGUAGCUAUUAAAGAGUUAAUUUUAAAAACUGUUACUAAGAAACUCUUUCUUUGAUAAGAGUAUGGCUGAAAAAUGAAAUAGAAAGCUUUGAAACCCUUCCUCUUGCUUUUAGCAAUGCUGCACUGAGCCAGAGAAAUCAUAACAACAAAAAUAUAUUUGUCUGGUGGAGAGAACAGAAGAAAUGUUGCAGAAUUGAGAUACCAAGAACCUCACUGCAGAAUAGAAGGAGAACUGUCAUUCUGAUUGUUUGUCAUUAUUGUUUCAUGUCCAGUUAAGUGAACUUAAAGUGACAGUUGUGUCAUAACUGCUGGCAUCUAUGUAAAUUUCAAAUCAAAUAUGAUAGAGGCAUUUCUGCCAGACAGAAGUCACCAGGCUGCUCUUCCUCUUCGUUUUUGUAACCCUCCAUUUUCUCAUGCCAUGGCUGGUAGCCCUUAAAUUGAAAAGACAACUUCAACACGGGAUCACUGUGUUGUGUGUGUUUCAGUGCUUGGCCUGUACCUUGCUUUCUCUCAGCUUUUUGAAACAAUGCCCCAGUGUCAAAUUUCCACCAGAAACUGUCACCACAAACACCUAGAUGGAUUAGCUAAACCUGUGCCUACCCAUUAAUGAUGUAUCAUACAACAAGAGCCUGCGAAGUUCCAGGUUGAGAAUGUCCCCUGAAGACCUACAGAGAAAACAGCUCGAGCAAAUGUUCCUCCAUUGGUUUACUGCAGCCCAAGACAGACAUCUCUGUGGAUAGGAGCAAAAUAGGCAGAAAACAUCGGUCAUGGACCUUUCUGUGCAUUACAGCAUUGUUCAGAGAUCAUGGGAACUUCAUAAAGUUAUCAGACAUACUCCUCCACUGCAAUGAGCUACAUGUAAAUAAUUAAUUUCUUGGAUACACUCAGACAGAUAUUCUAAUUACACAGGAUUUGCUACUGGACACAUAUCUUUGAAAAUAAUUCCAAUGCAAUUAUAAAGGUAUUUUGUGUGGACAACACCAUGAAAAAAUAUUAAACGUGCUAUUUAUUCAUUCAAGGAUAAUAUACUAUUUUUCCUGCAUAUUUAUAGUUACUUGGGUAAUUAAUUAGAUAAUACAUGCUAGAGUUAAGUUUUCAUUUUUCAUUGCAACACAUUGCAUAAAUGACAAUGUUAUAAAUAUGUACCUCUGCAUUAGGUAAGUGCAUUUUGGUCAGCUGAUUGAGUCAGAUUUUUAUUUUUGUAAUUCCUUUCUAGUUGAUCUUUUUUGUACUGUGAAUUUAAAUUAGCUUGGUGACUUUACCUACAAUUUGGGCCUUCCAAACAGACCAAAUUGUGCUUUCCCACCCUUUCAUAUGUUACAGUGACUAGUGAAGAGAGGCAACAUAUUAAUGCCAGUCCUAUAAAAGUAUCUGUGAAGAAAACACUUUUUUACCCCAAAGGGUAAGUUCUGUAUGAGUUUAUAUUAGGUAUUUGUCAAAGGACUUUUUUCCCUGUUAAAGAUGGAGACAUAUGAAUCAUGAAAAUAUUCAUAUUUGAGACAAAAUAUCACUAGAUAUGUCACCACAAAAAUCAAUUGUCAGUAUAUGUUUAAGAGUAGCAAAUCCGUGUUAACUGAUUUGCCAUAAAAAUUCCUAUAGACUGUGGAAUGUAAAGCCCUCUUUCAAAAUUCACAUAGUAUUUCCAAUUUUUUUUAAUGUAGUGAGUGAACUUGUUAUUACACACACAUAUUCUAGAGGCCUUUCAAGAGUUUUAAUUUUAAACAAAAAUUAUAUGUUAUGUCAAAGUCUGAUAUCUUUCCUGUAGUCACAGGACCCACUUGCAGAACUUGCUUCUGCUGCUGGCUUGUGGCAAUGUAUCAAUUUCUCCAGACAGAAAUGUGCACAGGACAAAUUGGUGAAGUCAUUUCAGCCACAUGACGUCAUUAUAAACACAGCCUUAGCUCUUCCAAAAGUGGACUUUAUUGUUAAUAUUAAUAUAUAUCUGUAAUUGCUGACAUUUAGAUUAUUUGGCUCCUGUCCUAAGUUAUAGAUACAGUGAUGAUAAAAGGUCUUGCAAGCCCUUACCUAAGCAAACUGUGCUUACUAAUUACCUCCCAUGGUUCUGGGUUCCUGUAAAUAAAGUUACUCAUAUAUUUAUAA